rnacentral:rRNA from 1 species
UACGGGGGGGGCAAGCGUUGUUCGGAAUUACUGGGCGUAAAGGGCUCGUAGGCGGCCAACUAAGUCAGACGUGAAAUCCCUCGGCUUAACCGGGGAACUGCGUCUGAUACUGGAUGGCUUGAGUUUGGGAGAGGGAUGCGGAAUUCCAGGUGUAGCGGUGAAAUGCGUAGAUAUGCGGAGGAACACCGAUGGCGAAGGCAAUCCCCUGGGCCUGCACUGACGCUCAUGCACGAAAGCGUGGGGAGCAAACAGG